ACGCUCGACACCUACGGGAGGCGGCAGUGGGGAAUAUUGCACAAUGGGGGAAACCCGUGAUGCAGCGACGCCGCGUGAGCGAAGAAGUAUCUCGGUAUGUAAAGCUCUAUCAGCAGGGAAGAAGAUGACGGUACCUGACUAAGAAGCACCGGCUAAAUACGUGCCAGUAGCCGCGGUAAUCUGAGCGGGCUGGCAAGGC
rnacentral:rRNA from 1 species